UCGAAAUGGGCCAUGACGAGAGUCAAAUCGAACCCACAAAAAGACCAGGGCAACGGAAGAUACCCUUGAGCAUAAAAUGGAUAUAACUUUGAACCAAACUGAAAUUGGCUAGUGAAGCAAAGUGGUUGUGCUCUUUCUCCGACUUCUCUUUUUGUCUCGUUUAUUUGUGGAGAAAAGACUUGGAAGACAGCAAACCUGACGUGUACAAAGCAAAGCGCAGGCGUAAAGAAUUCCACGAGCGAGUCUUCGUACACGGAUAAAAAAGAUGGCUGUUGAAUGCAAAAUUUUAUAUUUCCUAUAGAAAUGAAAUACAACAUCUUAUGUAAUAAUA